ACGGUACCCAGACGAUUCGAUCGACUGUGGCCUGUGGUGAACUUUCAAUCAGCCCAUUCGUGUCUGUAUUUUCUCUGAAAAGAAAAUUAAAAGAAGAUACAAAAUGUCGGGAGUUGCAAGGACUUUGGUACUCCGUACUGCUCCAUUUGUAAGGACCAACCUCAUUCAAACACGAGGGAUUAGAAGUGCACCUCCCAAAACACCUCUAACAUUAAUGGAAAAACUUAUUGGCAUGUCGGUCAUCGGUGCUGGUUGCCUCGUGAUCCCAGGAUAUAUCAUGUCACACUUAGACGUCUACAAGGCCAGGGAUUAAACCAGCAGUGGACUCUCUUUAGAAAUCAUUGUGCAUCCAGAUUCUAUUUGUAAUUGUCACCAGGGGACUUGGUCAAUCAUGUCUGUGUAUCGCUCCAUUCUGAUAUGAUGUUAAUUAAAAAUUUAAUGCAGUAUCAGCGAGGGAUUACUCCACCACCAGAUGGCACUAUUUCACUUUGAUGCAGCAGGGAUCAGUAUCAACAAGGGAACUGGCUUGAUUGAAGGAUCAACUAUGCAGAAGGAAUGAGGGAGGGUCAGGCUACGGUCUACAUGGAAAUUAAUCUGGCUUCAGAGGAGUCAACAUUCCGCUGCUGCUCAACACACACACACACCAACCGAGAACUCAAAUAACUUACAAAUAUUUUAGUACCAUGAUCCGACCGUUAUGUUUUCCGACUUUGUGAUACCAGUUUUUAUACUUACAGCUAGAGUUAAUCAUGGCAUGCCCAAGUAAUUAGACCAUUUGUGUACAUCAUUUUUUCUCCCCAAAGGAGUCUAUUAUCUAAAUCAUGUAUCAUCUAAAUUAUUUAAUGAUAAUAUAUUUUCAAGGUACAUUAUUUGAAAAGAACUUAAAUCAUGUCUGUGAUUUUGCUAGCAGAUGCCCUGAUGUAUACAUGUACGUGUACGGUGUAGUACAGUGUGGAUUUGUACAAAUGUAUAUGACCGGUGUUCUGGUGACACCUUAAUCAUGCUUAUGGUGGAAAAUUAUUAUUAAAGUUUUGAAAGUGAAGAA